AUUCCCGUAUGGUUUUUCAUACAUGUGUGCACUAAUGCAUAAAAUAGACAGUAAUUCUAAAAUUUAUGAAUUUGCUGUUUAAACUUUAAACAUCUCAAAGCUAAUGAGUUGUUUAGUUUUCUUAAAUUUUAAUGAAAGCACUUCAUACAUGUAUGUUGGGUCCUCACAGCACAGUCAAGAUUCAUCAAAUAUUUUAUGUGAUAGCAUUUAUGAUCAAGGCAGAAUGCCUUAAUUAAACAAAUAAUUAGCCUUGAGGACAGUAAUGAACACAACAGUCUAAUUAGUGAAUUUGUUAACUGUUCCUCUCAGUGACUGAAUCAAUAGCCAAUAGCCAAUACACAGUCAGAUACUGUAGUUACUUUGGUUAUGGGAAUUACAUGUUAUCUCUGCAAUGCACAAUGGCAAAAACAAAACAUUACGUGAAUUAAUGAACUUGAAUAUGUUGUAACAGAAUAAAGAUUAGACUAGGAGCUAAGAAAUGCCGGUUUUACUUCAGGCUGCCACUCAUAAGCCAUGUGACCUAGGAUAACUAACUUAACCUUCCUGGCCUCAGUUUCCUCAAUUAUAAAUUAUGAGAGCUGCACUAGAUGAUUUCUAGAGCCCUUUCCAGUACUAGCAUUUCACACACUUGUUGUGAGGAAUCCCUCCCUUUCAUUUCUUAUUUUUGAAGCCACUUGCUUCCUAGCACUGUGUCUGUCAAAUAACACUGCUGCCAGCAAUUUACAAGGUAGGUCUGUGGGUGCGGGAGAGAGGCUUCUGCCUGAUCUAGUUUUGUUUACAGUGGCAACAUUUCAGCACAUCCUCUGUGCUUUCAGCAGGAAGCAGUCAGGCAGCAAAAUUGCUCUAGCAUAAAACAAAUCCAGCUGCAGGGCAUCUUCAAAAUGCUCCCUAUGUGUUUUUCGAUUUAGCCUGCUAUUAAAAUUUUAAGGCACAAUUUAGAGCUACAGUGUGCAGUCUUCUGUUACAAAAUGAAUCCAGGUUUCUCAUUACUGGCUUUGGAGUGUCAGGGCAGGGUAAAAGGAAAAUGAGAUGUGCAGAGAAAGAAGACAUUUUGCAAUGUGGAGCACGAUUUGCCUUUGGCUCCCUCCUUUCCAAGCAUUCAUCAUCUGUAACUCACGCAGGGCUUCAACCCAUUCUGCCCACAAGCCAGCCAGUCAGUUCAGAGCUGCAGGAUGAGAGAGGAAAUUGGAACAGGGCCAACCUACUCUGCAGGACUGGGUGGUUUGAAUGAGACAUGUGAUCCAAGGAGCUGCGGGUCCAGGAUUGGCAUAAGGGGUGCAAGCAGUGGGCAGAGGACAUCCAAGCCGGAGAUGCAGCAUGCACAAAGCAGUCAGGAGGAAGAGCAUGGUGGGUUUGGACAAUACCAGCCACUUCUCAGUGGAUUUGCCUUCAUCCAUUUUCUCCAAAGAUUUGGGGUCUUGAAUUCGUGAGGGGGGAAAUGUUACAGUCAGGCAUGAGCAGGGCAGGAGAGGGCUUCCCCCAACACAGACACACCGGGAGUGUUGGGCAACCAUCAGGUGAUGGUCAGGCGAUUGUUAACUAUCUCUCU
rnacentral:lncRNA from 10 species